UGUAUGUAUGUAUGUAGGUAUGUAUGUAUGUAUGUAUGUAACAUACAUACAUACAUCAUACAUACAUACAUACAUACAUACA
rnacentral:pre_miRNA from 1 species